rnacentral:rRNA from 1 species
AUGAACGCUAGCUACAGGCUUAACACAUGCAAGUCGAGGGGCAGCAUGGUCUUAGCUUGCUAAGGCCGAUGGCGACCGGCGCACGGGUGAGUAACACGUAUCCAACCUGCCGUCUACUCUUGGACAGCCUUCUGAAAGGAAGAUUAAUACAAGAUGGCAUCAUGAGUCCGCAUGUUCACAUGAUUAAAGGUAUUCCGGUAGACGAUGGGGAUGCGUUCCAUUAGAUAGUAGGCGGGGUAACGGCCCACCUAGUCUUCGAUGGAUAGGGGUUCUGAGAGGAAGGUCCCCCACAUUGGAACUGAGACACGGUCCAAACUCCUACGGGAGGCAGCAGUGAGGAAUAUUGGUCAAUGGGCGAGAGCCUGAACCAGCCAAGUAGCGUGAAGGAUGACUGCCCUAUGGGUUGUAAACUUCUUUUAUAAAGGAAUAAAGUCGGGUAUGGAUACCCGUUUGCAUGUACUUUAUGAAUAAGGAUCGGCUAACUCCGUGCCAGCAGCCGCGGUAAUACGGAGGAUCCGAGCGUUAUCCGGAUUUAUUGGGUUUAAAGGGAGCGUAGAUGGAUGUUUAAGUCAGUUGUGAAAGUUUGCGGCUCAACCGUAAAAUUGCAGUUGAUACUGGAUAUCUUGAGUGCAGUUGAGGCAGGCGGAAUUCGUGGUGUAGCGGUGAAAUGCUUAGAUAUCACGAAGAACUCCGAUUGCGAAGGCAGCCUGCUAAGCUGCAACUGACAUUGAGGCUCGAAAGUGUGGGUAUCAAACAGGAUUAGAUACCCUGGUAGUCCACACGGUAAACGAUGAAUACUCGCUGUUUGCGAUAUACAGUAAGCGGCCAAGCGAAAGCGUUAAGUAUUCCACCUGGGGAGUACGCCGGCAACGGUGAAACUCAAAGGAAUUGACGGGGGCCCGCACAAGCGGAGGAACAUGUGGUUUAAUUCGAUGAUACGCGAGGAACCUUACCCGGGCUUAAAUUGCAGAUGAAUUACGGUGAAAGCCGUAAGCCGCAAGGCAUCUGUGAAGGUGCUGCAUGGUUGUCGUCAGCUCGUGCCGUGAGGUGUCGGCUUAAGUGCCAUAACGAGCGCAACCCUUGUUGUCAGUUACUAACAGGUUCCGCUGAGGACUCUGACAAGACUGCCAUCGUAAGAUGUGAGGAAGGUGGGGAUGACGUCAAAUCAGCACGGCCCUUACGUCCGGGGCUACACACGUGUUACAAUGGGGGGUACAGAGGGCCGCUACCACGCGAGUGGAUGCCAAUCCCCAAAACCUCUCUCAGUUCGGACUGGAGUCUGCAACCCGACUCCACGAAGCUGGAUUCGCUAGUAAUCGCGCAUCAGCCACGGCGCGGUGAAUACGAUCCCGGGCCUUGUACACACCGCCCGUCAAGCCAUGGGAGCCGGGGGUACCUGAAGUGCGUAACCGCGAGGAGCGCCCUAGGGUAAAACUGGUGACUGGGGCU